rnacentral:rRNA from 1 species
AGCGGUAACAGGGGUAGCUUGCUACCCGCUGACGAGCGGCGGACGGGUGAGUAAUGCAUAGGAAUCUGCCCGAUAGUGGGGGAUAACCUGGGGAAACCCAGGCUAAUACCGCAUACGUCCUACGGGAGAAAGGGGGCUCCGGCUCCCGCUNNNNGGANGAGCCUAUGUCGGAUUAGCUAGUUGGUGAGGUAAUGGCUCACCAAGGCAACGAUCCGUAGCUGGUCUGAGAGGAUGAUCAGCCACAUCGGGACUGAGACACGGCCCGAACUCCUACGGGAGGCAGCAGUGGGGAAUAUUGGACAAUGGGCGAAAGCCUGAUCCAGCCAUGCCGCGUGUGUGAAGAAGGCCCUCGGGUUGUAAAGCACUUUCAGCGAGGAAGAACGCCUAGUGGUUAAUACCCAUUAGGAAAGACAUCACUCGCAGAAGAAGCACCGGCUAACUCCGUGCCAGCAGCCGCGNNNNUACGGAGGGUGCAAGCGUUAAUCGGAAUUACUGGGCGUAAAGCGCGCGUAGGUGGCUUGAUAAGCCGGUUGUGAAAGCCCCGGGCUCAACCUGGGAACGGCAUCCGGAACUGUCAAGCUAGAGUGCAGGAGAGGAAGGUAGAAUUCCCGGUGUAGCGGUGAAAUGCGUAGAGAUCGGGAGGAAUACCAGUGGCGAANGCGGCCUUCUGGACUGACACUGACACUGAGGUGCGAAAGCGUGGGUAGCAAACAGGAUUAGAUACCCUGGUAGUCCACGCCGUNNNGAUGUCNAC